CAGAGACAGAAAAACAGACAGACAGACAGAAAUACCUUUGAGCAGCUGAUGAGCGCUUGAGUUGUUGUUGCUGUUCGUGUGGGUUAGGGCCCUGUGCUCAGGAGAGAUGGCACCGACGCCGAUCAGAUGGGUCGGCUUAACCAGGCGUCUGUUCGGAGUUGGUGUCACCUCGCCUGAACAUAGGGCUCACUAGCCCUGUCAAAGUACCAGCUUCAGAGGAGAGGGGAGCACAGGUGAUAAUGCAACUGCAGCUGAGCACCGCCUCCUCUUCCUCUCCUCCCGUUUCCCUCCGCGUUUCCUCUUGCAGGUCGGGUCAGCUGGAGACGCGGCCGUUCCGUCAUGGCAUGAGACGCACGCAGCGGGCUGGCGGAUGUUGGAGCUGGGCGGCAGACGGCCACACGCAGAGGCUGGCCAGCCAUGCAUCGAUCCAUGGAACGAAUCCCAGAACAAUUCGUCCGUGAAGCAUCGCCAUCAACUCGAGCUCCACUCCGCGUUUCCUCUCUCGGAGAAUGAAGGCGGCCGUGCGUGCAGCUCCCAGCUGAGCAAGACCGCCAAUUUCGGCUGCUGGCGUAAGAUCGCCUUAUUUUUCUGAUUGCAACGAGGUUGUUGGCCUGCACUCUGUUCUCUGCUGGGUGUAACCGGCUGGGUUAGCUUUAAAAUAGGUUCUGACUUCUAACAAAUUGUUGGCUGCAGCUUUGUUUUGUGGCGAAUAUUGCUUCCUUGGUUCUGCUUUGCCUUUCCCACUCUAUGAACCUCGGCUGAACUAUGCUGUAAGAUUUCUCGAUCAAAAAUUCGAUGGUUGGUUA